CGCUUUCUUCCUUUAAAAAAUAUCAGUUCCAUCAUGAGGGCUCAGUAAACAACAUAAUUAACAUCCUACCAAGGAGCAAGAAGGCUAUUAGGAGGUCAAUUCCUUUACCUAGCGGAAGUGUUGUUUUGACAUGAGUGGCAUUUAUCUCGAUAGUCUUGGAUAGAAUUAUGCUGCUUGCUGGGUCCUGAUGAUGGAACUAGCAUUUUUUAAGGGAAGAAAACG
rnacentral:pre_miRNA from 1 species